rnacentral:lncRNA from 1 species
AUUUUCUAAAAAUUAACCAUUGAUACUUCACCUUUCUCAAAAACCCUUAGCUGAUGGGGCCCCUGGGUGGCUCAGUGUGUUAAGCGUCAGACUUCGGCUCAGGUCAUGAUCUUACAGUCUGUGGGUUCGAGCCCUGUGUUGGGCUCUGUGCUGACAGCUCAGAGCCUGGAGCCUGCUUCGGAUUCCGUACCUCCCUCUCUCUCUGACCCUCCCCUGCUCUCUCUGUCUCUCAAAAAUAAAUAAAAAACAUUAAAAAAGUUAAAAAAAAAAAAAGCCUUAGUUGUAAGAGCAGGAGGAAACCGUAACACCAUAUUCAGUCCCGCCUGCUUCUCCGUCAGCUCUGGCUUCUUCAAAGGCUCCGUUAGAUCUUGGGUGAUGACGCAUCCCACACCCGCCCCUUCACACUCACGCGCUCCCCUGAGCUCAGCCCGUUUCCCACGGCCCCCCAGGGUCCCAGUGUCUGUCUGGCCCUGGGGUGGCCGCUGGCCAGCUGGCAGGCACCGGACUUGUGUCUGCACUGGGUCCGGAGCGGCCAGCAGGGGCCGCUGUGUCUUUGUUUUUCAUCCAAGCUCCCCUACUGCUCAGAAGGUUUGUUUCUGGAAGGGCAUCUAACACAUCCCCCCGGAGACAGUCAAGGUAAAGGCUUACACAAUCCGGCAAGGAAAGACCUGCGUUCAAAACGCGGGCACAGGAAGAAGCAUCAGUACACGUUGAGCAGAUGGAACAGGACCGAGCCCUCGGGGACAUUAGAAAAGCAAAGAGUGUCCGCAAACCAGAGCGCUGACGACCACCUGGGGGGCAGCAGCGUCUCCGGCUCUGCUGCCAGAACCCACCGGAGCGGCAUUUCUGGGAGAAAUACCCUAACAUCUGCAGUUUGCUUUGAAAUACCUCCAGAAACCAGAUGGAGCAGAUGUGUGAAAAAGUAAAUACAGCAAAAGGAAAAAAAAAGUAUUUACUUAAUCAUUGAAUCUACAAUUUCAACCUUUCUGUAUCCUUGGAAGUCUUUGUAAUAAAAUGUUGGCGAG